AUUGAACGCUGGCGGCAGGCCUAACACAUGCAAGUCGAACGGUAACAGGAAGAAGCUUGCUUCUUUGCUGACGAGUGGCGGACGGGUGAGUAAUGUCUGGGAAACUGCCUGAUGGAGGGGGAUAACUACUGGAAACGGUAGCUAAUACCGCAUAACGUCGCAAGACCAAAGAGGGGGACCUUCGGGCCUCUUGCCCUCGGAUGUGCCCAGAUGGGAUUAGCUAGUAGGUGGGGUAACGGCUCACCUAGGCGACGAUCCCUAGCUGGUCUGAGAGGAUGACCAGCCACACUGGAACUGAGACACGGUCCAGACUCCUACGGGAGGCAGUAGUGGGGAAUAUUGCACAAUGGGCGCAAGCCUGAUGCAGCCAUGCCGCGUGUAUGAAGAAGGCCUUCGGGUUGUAAAGUACUUUCAGCGGGGAGGAAGGGAGUAAAGUUAAUACCUUUACUCAUUGACGUUACCCGCAGAAGAAGCACCGGCUAACUCCGUG
rnacentral:rRNA from 1 species